UCCAUGCAGAAUUAUCCUCCUCUCUUCCUCAGUGGUCAGUGUGGCCUCUGGUUGUAUUCUGGGUUGUAAUGUCCCCUCCUCUCAAAACAAUCCAUGCAGAAUUAUCCUCCUCUCUUCCUCAGUGGUCAGUGUGGCCUCUGGUUGUAUUCUGGGUUGUAAUGUCCCCUCCUCUCAAAACAAUCCAUGCAGAAUUAUCCUCCUCUCUUCCUCAGUGGUCAGUGUGGCCUCUGGUUGUAUUCUGGGUUGUAAUGUCCCCUCCUCUC